rnacentral:rRNA from 1 species
CAACCCUCGAACCCCUCCGGGGGGUCGGCGUUGGGGAUCGGCCCCUCACCGGGCCGCCCCCGAAAUACAGUGGCGGUCUCGCCGCAGCCUCUCAUGCGCAGUAGUUUGCACACUCGCACCGGGAGCGCGGCGCGGCCACAGCCGUAAAACACCCCAAAUUUUCUGAAAUG